UGCCAGUAGUCAUAUGCUUGUUUCAAGGACUAAGCCAUGCAUGCCUCAGAAUCACUGCGUUGCAGGAAUCUGCGCAUGGCUCAUUACAUCAGACGUAAUCUGCCGCAAAAAUUGUGCGGUCUCCGCAUCAUUGGAUACCUUGGCGAAACGCCAAGCUAAUACAUGAACCAAUCGGACGUGUUCCGUUCACGCGGCUUGUGGGGUAACACCUGCUUGUCGUAGCGAGCCGUCCAGCGAAUGAAUGAAAUUAAAACCAAUGCCGCGGACGCGGCAGCAGCACUCAGACGUGUUGACUCAAUUCAUUCCGUGCGAAAGCUGGUCUCACCAGCGUCUUUUGACGAACAACUGCCCUAUCAGCCAGUGAUGGCCGUGUAGUGGACUGCCAUGGCGUUGACGGGAGCGGGGGAUUAGGGUUCGAUUCCGGAGAGGGAGCCUGAGAAAUAGCUACCACUUCUACGGAGGGCAGCAGGCGCGCAAAUUGCCCAAUGUCGAGAAAAUACGAUGAGGCAGCGUAAAGAAAUAGGCCUCCUAGCCACUCUGUGGUUGGGAGAUUACAAUGGGGGAUAUUUAAAGCCAUCCAAAAUCGAGUAACAAUUGGAGGGCAAGUCUGGU
rnacentral:rRNA from 1 species